rnacentral:rRNA from 1 species
ACUGCUCAGUAACACGUGGACAAUCUGCCCUGAAGAGGAGGAUAAUCCCGGGAAACUGGGGGUAAUACUCCAUAGUUCGUGCUGACUGGAAUGUUAUGCGAACGAAAGAUCCGUCGCUUCAGGAUGAGUCUGCGGCCGAUUAGGUAGUUGUUGGGGUAACGGCCCAACAAGCCUGUCAUCGGUACGGGUUGUGGGAGCAAGAGCCCGGAGAUGGAUUCUGAGACACGAAUCCAGGGCCUACGGGGCGCAGCAGGCGCGAAAACUUUACCAUGCGGGCAACCGUGAUAAGGAAACCCCGAGUGCCAGCACAGGCUGGCUGUCCACCAGUGUAAAUGAACUGGUGAAGAAAGGGCCGGGCAAGACCGGUGCCAGCCGCCGCGGUAAUACCGGCGGCUCGAGUGGUGGCCGCUAUUACUGGGCUUAAAGGGUCCGUAGCUGGAUAUACAAGUCCCUUGAGAAAUCCGCCGGCUUAACCGGUGGGCGUUCAGGGGAAACUGUAUUUCUAGGGACCGGGAGAGGAGAGAGGUACUGCCGGGGUAGGAGUGAAAUCCUGUAAUCCCGGUGGGACCACCUUUGGCGAAGGCAUCUCACCAGAACGGGUCCGACAGUGAGGGACGAAAGCUGGGGGAGCAAACCGGAUUAGAUACCCGGGUAGUCCCAGCUGUAAACGAUGCGCGUUAGGUGUGUCAGUGACCACGUGUCACUGAGGUGCCGAAGGGAAACCGUGAAACGCGCCGCCUGGGGAGUACGGUCGCAAGGCUGAAACUUAAAGGAAUUGGCGGGGGAGCAC